UGUACGCGAAACCCCAGUUUUGGCCACCGAGUUGUCGUUAAUUUAAAACGAGGAGUACUCUACGGUGUAAAGGGAAGGAAGAAAGCAAGUCAAAAUCGGGUUACCAAUGUAAAAUGAACCUGUACGGUUUUAUUUCCAUAGAAUUACAUGACUUGAAUUUGUACAUGGAUCCCAAAUCCAAGACGUUUCCUAUCGCUACGUACUCAAAUGUCAGAAUUGCACCGACUCCUGCAGCCCUCACUUACGGUUUUGCUUUGUUGGCUGUGCCGCUCCAAUGCAACAGCAGCUACAGCGCAGGCGCCAGUAUGCGGCAAACGACGAACCGCAGUUGUUUUUGCGCCUGCGCAGCCCGCCCCCCUUUUUGCUGAUUGAGACAGGGCUCGGCGCUCGCCUCUUCGGCAGAAACUUCUGGAAAAAUCAGCUCUGAGGGCGGCAAACUUUCAGUCGCUGAGGAAACAAAAUAUACAAAAACAGGAGAAUUGCUUGGAGUUACCCGUUCUACUCACGAUUAAGCUUACAUUUGAAACCUACAAAUCCUGCUGGUUAAAAUUAAGCUUGAAGGGAGUAAUAAAUAUUAACUUUUUUUUGUGGAAUUAUGGUGGAAAGAACCAUGUCUGCCUGGCUUAAACGGAGCUCCAGACUGGCAUAUAUCUGUAUACUUACAUGAGAAUAAAAUCCACUUGUUUACACGAAUGUGGGCUUGGUCUAAUUUGGAUUUUAUUGAAUUUACAACAUCAUCUUUUAUUCCCUUUUCCUUUGUUUUCUGGAAUUCAUCUGGAAGGAAUUAAAUGAAAACAAUGGAUCUAUUGUCUGUAACCCAGUUGUGCACAACUAUUGAGUUUCUAUACCUAUAAAACACUUGAAACCCAGUAAAAUACCGGGAAAUUAUAAAAAAGGAUUUAUGUUCAAACACAUUGUAUGUACUAGUGUUGUGGGCAGUUUACAGGCUUUUUUUUAAGGUACAAUAAAUUGGUUCUAAGUGACCACAGUCUGUAAAGUGAAGGUAUGACGAAGAUAAGGUAAUCAUUUAAAUGCUGUUACGUGUUGAAAUAGAAAGUAUAUUAUGUCCGUGUGUAGCAAAAGCGGUAGAACAAUUCAAGUUAAUAUCAGAUGUUUGUCUCCGUUCCCUUUUAUCGGCGCCAUUUUGUAGGUGCUGGUGUAAUUAUGAGAAGAUUCGAGUCCGCCAUUUUGUGUUUGAUGCAGGGCUUGGUUAUUUCGGUACAUAAGUACCCCUAUGGUAAGGGCCACCUAUACAGCACAACAUUGAAUGGAGGAUUAUAUACAUCUAAUAUUUACAUAAGUGUCUCUUAUAAUUUAGUUUUUAUUGUUUUCUAUAUGUGGUAGCAGGACCCAGCCAAUAAACAAAUACUGCAAUUCAGAUUUAUAAAAGACAAAUGCAACUGUAAUUACAUAUUCAAAUAAAUAUGUUUUACACAAUUGUUGAUAAUCCACAACAUACAACACAUUCACUUCAAAAUGAAUGUUUGGAUCUUUGAAUUGAAAAUGAUCAAAUGAAAUUAUGUUGCGAGAGUAUAGUGAAGAAGAAUGAAAUAAGCCAAUUAAUUUACUGUAAAAUAAUGGCAUACAAUUAUCUCCCCAUAGUUAUUUGUUCAAUUUAGUUCUAGUCUACAUUUCCUGUGUAAAUUAUUGCUCUAUAAGAGUCUUGUUGUCCAAUGUUGUAAGGGUUAAAUACAAUUGAUGUAUAAUAUAAAAUACUACAUGUUAAAGGGAUGUUGUCAAAAUAAUGGUGCCAUUAAGGAUCACAGCCUAGGGUACCUGUAACCAGGCUUGGUUAAUAUGGGUAAACCUUUAUAGACUGACAAUAUACACCAUUUUAAUGGAAUGUGUUCAACCUUUGGAAUUGUUAAGAAUACAUGGUGAUUCAUAAGCUUCCUCCAUUUACUCUUAAAAAAAAUACAGAAAAUGAAAGAUGGUGGAUUAUUGUAGAUGUGUUCAAAAUGGUUCUCUGCAGAAUUAUCAUCCGAUGUUCCUCGGUUUCCAGUCAGCACACAGCAGACUGAGAUCUUUCUCAUGUCUACUGACAUUAAGAGGUAGGUAUAGGCAGGCAUAAUAGACUGUGCUCCAGGCUUAUCUCAAGGCCAGAUGACAGACAUAUGAUAUUGGAUAAUCCCUGUGCAGCCACACCACAGAUGCCUCACAUUUACACAGGUUUCACAAGAUGCUUUCAACUUCAGAGUUUUUUGCAUGUUUAAACACAGAAAAGAAAUUCACAUACAAUAGGUCUUAUCUGCAGUUGCAACUUCUAUCACAAAUGGUUUUGCAACUCAACUGUUAAAUGCCAGGGAUCGAGUGUUUCCCAGGUUUGUGUCUGACAGCGCAUUUAAUAAAUCCCAUAGGCCUAGUUGAGUGCAGCUCACAUUAAACUAUUGUGCACAGAUAAUUUAUUCACACUAGAAAAAUAUAUAUAGGGUCGUGCAGGACAAAUGUGCGGCACAAGAAACUUUGGGUAGAAAUGAAACCGGGUUAAUAAAAAUAUAUUCACAAAAAAAUGUCUUACUCAAGACCUAUCCUGUUUUACACCCAUUUUAAAGGAUUUCUUUUCAGACAGACUUCCUCUAAUCAGCCCCUGUUGUGGUUGCAUUUUGUUCAUCGGCUUGAUUGAAUGUGAUAGCCUAGAUAUUUGAUAUGCUUUGCAUUAGUCUUUAAUGUGCAGUUGCUUUAUAAUAUUGAUUUGUAUGGGAUGCUGCGAAGAGCUUUCAGCUGAUAUAUGUUUUGAAAGGUGCCUUAAAAGAAUGGUGCAGUAUUGUGUAUUCAGGGUAUAAUCAGCAGGGUGGUUAAAGGUUUUAGUUUUGUCUGCUUCUGUCAUUUGGAAUUUAUAUAUUUAUUAAUAAUGUAACUGCCAAAUGUUUUUUUACCAUGGGAAAAUGUUGGGUAAAGGAAGCUUUUCCUCCGCUCCAUGGCUAAAAUGCAACAGUUGCACCAAUGCAAUAUAACAUGGCAACUUUAUUGCACAAUAGGUCAGUGGGGGAAAAAAAUGAAACUUAAUCAAAGUGCCCCCUCUGUUGGCAGCAGACGGUAUAUUUUCAUUCUUUUUUUUAGCUGAUGUUUUCUCAGUAGUUUUAAAGCACAGUAAAAGUCCCUCACAUCCACACUCAACAACUUGAAUAUUUUUUUGAUAAUCCUUCGUAAAGGUGUAUUAUCAAAUUGUCGUAUCCUUUUGUGACCUCAGUACCGUUGCUACUGCUCCAUAUCAUUGUCAAAUUUUCAUGACAGUUCAGAACAACUCUAUCGAACUGUUCUCUAGGUCAUGCCGGUCUGCUCUUAUAGAAGAGAUUUCAUUUAACUCACAUGUCCCUUAACUAGGAAAGAAGCAGGAUGUCACAGAAAGUGAAAAUAGGUUACAGAAGGUAGAGUCCAGCAACAAACCACCAACUUAAAUAAAACAAAUAUUGCCCUGUAGUGAUGUACCUUCAGACUUCCACAAUGAUAAGGUGUAUGCAUGAAAAGUUCAACUCCACAACUAUAAGGACAGCUGUGAAAAUAGUAAAAUUAAGCAAUGGAACUAGAUAUGUAAGUACAAAUAUAUUAACUGGCUUCUCUACCACGUGAUGUGUGCUAUUGUAACAAUGCUGGUUGAAUAUGCCUUCUUUAAAACAUGCUUGCUGUAGGAACCAGUUUUACUGUUAAUCUGUGAUAUUUUAUAAAGUCUGUUACCCUUUUAAGAUAAAAACUGUAGCAAUAUAACAAAACAAUAUGUCAUUUAUAACCUUGUCAUUUUUGAUAAGGUUGGCAGCUGUUAGGUUUAUUUGUUUGACUCUUAAAAGGUAAAGCUGACCAAAUGCACUUGUGACUGGCUCCGUCCUCGAUUGGCCUCCUUUGACCUCUACUCGUUCCCAGCUGGGAUCCAGUUCACACACUCUGUAGGGAUACCUGCUGGUAUACUGUAAUCUGCAGCACUGGGAAUGCAGAAUGUGUCAGGGACUCAUUCAGAGAGCUGUGGCUCAUGUGUAACCCUUUGCAACCUGUGGUGACGUUGCAAUGAUUUGUCAUGCCCCCAAGAUGCAAAUUGUAAAUACUAUAUUACCAAAGCACUGACAAAUGCUUUAGAAAUACAGUGCUACCGAAAUUAGAAAAAGCUUACAAAACGACUCCAUUAAGUCUUGCCUAAUCUCUAUUGCACAAAUUUGUAGGUCCCACAUUGUGCUGUGUGAAACGCAUGCCCAAUAUGUUAAAGGAGAACAAGCACUGUGACACCCUGACAGGUAUGGUAAAGCAAAUGUAAAGGUUUUAUUACAGAGAUAAAGUCAUGCUUUUAGUGGGGUCAUAUUGAAAUGCACCGUGAGGUAUAACAUGUUCUAGUUUUGUCUUUGGACACCAUCAUCCCACGCUUGAAAUGCAACUGAGCUGCUUACAGAGCUGCUGUAGAAAUGUUUUGCUUUGCCAUAAGAGUUCAUGCUCCAAAGAUGUCUAAUCAGUCAGUAUAUGUUUAUAAGAGUUAGGAGGCACAGACAGUUAUCAACUUUAGAUUUUAUAGUGGGAUAUAUAAUGACGUUUCUUUUUUGUGAAGACUGUCCUCUUAUAAUUUGAAUUUCUGUAAGAAGGAAGACAGUAUUGCCCUGUGAAAGCUUUUUUGCUCAUACAACUGUGUUUGCCGUACAGGUGUGGCUGUUCUGAACAAUGUCUGUUAGCAGUUCUUAUGUACUGAUUAACCGUACCAGUCAAUGUGUGGAGUCAUUUAUAUUAGCCUUGGCCUUAUCAAACAGUAAAUGUGUUCGGAGGUGGUCUGUCAUUGGCUGUAUUAUUGGUUAGGUUUCAUUCCACCUAUUGGGGUGGUUAAAGGGUUUCCAUAGUGACUGGAUUGCUUGUUGCUAUGGUAGGAAUGACAGCAUAGCAUAUCCUAUCGAAAGACUUUGUAUCCUUGUAGUUGGCUUAACCAACUAUUGCAAAAAUACAUCAAGUGGGUAAUAACAAUGCUGUUUAUAACAGUGCACGGGAGCAGGGUUUGGGUCAAUUCUUGUUUUUCAAUUCCAAUUUCAUUUCCAGUUCCUUUUUAAAAUUAGUUUCAAUUUCCAUUCCUUUUUACUCAAUUCCAACACACCAUUGAUCAAAAUGGCAAUCAGCAGCAAUCUGUUAAAAAAAAGCUUCUUGCGUAAACUGAAGUCACUGUUGCUCAGUUAAAUUGGCUUCUAACGAAAGCCCUUGAACGAUCAACAACCAUAAUGUUGUCGCUAAUAUAUCAAUAUUCAAAGGUAUUGGAAUUGGGAAUUGAUUUUAAAAAGGGAUUGGAAAUGAAGAUCAAGGAUUGAUCCCAACCUUGGGAGUAAGGCAAAUGAAGGCACGGCCCAGGCCUCUAUCGGCUCCACACAGAACGUGUAUGGGAUCUUCACACACUCCAUCCUGGAAAUCUACAUGAGUUGAAGGGCACAUCUGACAAAACCUGGACCUGUAAGGUGUGAUAUGGACCCCCGCUGACCAAAACACAGAGCUGAGGGCCAGCCCAGUGUUAGAGCUCUCAGCCAAGCUCUGCUGGUUGCGAAACUGUCACUUCUACGACAAUAAUUGAGUUUAUUAUGUUAUGCAAGUUGGCCCUGGCAUUAAUUGUUUCCAUUUAUUUUAUUCAUUAUAUAUUAAAAGAAAAAUCAAUUACAGACAGGUUGUCUUCCAUGGUGUCCGCCUUUCACAUGCUUGGUUAAAGUUGUAGUAGUCUUCCACUUGCGGAGACAAUGACUGGAGAACGGCUG